rnacentral:rRNA from 1 species
UACGGAGGAUGCGAGCGUUAUCCGGAUUUAUUGGGUUUAAAGGGUGCGCAGGCGGAUUUUUAAGUCAGCGGUAAAAUACGGGGGCUCAACCUCCGCCCGCCGUUGAAACUGACGGUCUUGAGUGGGCGAGAGGUAUGCGGAAUGCGUGGUGUAGCGGUGAAAUGCAUAGAUAUCACGCAGAACCCCGAUUGCGAAGGCAGCAUACCGGCGCCCAACUGACGCUGAAGCACGAAAGCGUGGGGAGCAAACAGG